rnacentral:tRNA from 1 species
GGAGGUAUAGCUCAGUGGUAGAGCAUUCGACUACAGAUCUAGUGGUCCCCGGUUCAAACCCGGGAGUUUUCUUCU